rnacentral:rRNA from 1 species
GAUGAACGCUGGCGGCGUGCCUAAUACAUGCAAGUCGAGCGAACAGACGAGGAGCUUGCUCCUUUGACGUUAGCGGCGGACGGGUGAGUAACACGUGGAUAACCUACCUAUAAGACUGGGAUAACUUCGGGAAACCGGAGCUAAUACCGGAUAACAUUUUGAACCGCAUGGUUCUACAGUGAAAGAUGGUCUUGCUGUCACUUAUAGAUGGAUCCGCGCCGCAUUAGCUAGUUGGUAAGGUAACGGCUUACCAAGGCAACGAUGCGUAGCCGACCUGAGAGGGUGAUCGGCCACACUGGAACUGAGACACGGUCCAGACUCCUACGGGAGGCAGCAGUAGGGAAUCUUCCGCAAUGGGCGAAAGCCUGACGGAGCAACGCCGCGUGAGUGAAGAAGGUCUUCGGAUCGUAAAACUCUGUUAUUAGGGAAGAACAAAUGUGUAAGUAACUAUGCACGUCUUGACGGUACCUAAUCAGAAAGCCACGGCUAACUACGUG